GGUAUAAUGCAAAUUUUCUGUAUGCAUAAAGCCAUUUAGCACAUUUUUCUUCCCUGUACUUUUCGUGAACUUACAGGAUAUUUUAGAUUUUAUUAGGAACAUAUGGAGAAUUUAAAUGCAAAUGAAGAGGUGAAGAUAUAAAUUGUUUUUGAAAAGUCUUAGCUUCUUAUUUACAAUUGUUUUACUUUUUGUUUUUGUUUUUUUUUUUUUUUGAUGGCCAUAACCUAUGAUGCAUUGUUAUUGUGAAAAACGAGUUUAAUCAAAUAAUUUGGAGUUCCACAGGGUUUCAAAUUUUAUUCUCAUUUUUUAUAAAUGAUCUCCCACGUGAUUGUUCCAGGGAUGUAUUCCGUUCCCUUCAUACCUUCGAAGCCAAUAAUAAGGAUCUUUUCAAUAUCUUUCAGUUCGUUCAGAAUCCUCGUACUGAAUCCUACUAAAUCUCAAGCGUUAUGCAAGAUGGAGAAAUCCCGAUUCUGAUCCUCUGUUUCUAAGAACUGAGAUUUUAUCCCUUUCACUUCUAGGGUCAAGAACUUGAGGAUCAUCUUUAAUGAAACCCUGACUUGAUCCGAUUAAUCAUGUGGCUAAGAUUUGUAAAAAGGUAUUUCAUACCUUGGGUACCUUUAGAUGAAACUGAUCCUUAGUAUGAUUUAUUAUUAUGAUUAUUAUUAAUCGUGUCGGGAUAUAUUUUUUUACAAUGUAAUCAUGCUGCAAAGUCGUACAUCCCAUGUUGGAAGUAUCUGCUGAUCCUAGAUCGUCCAGAAACGCCUUCGAGGGAAAAGCUGUAAAAAGCCCAAUUUUAAAGCUAUGCCCCACUCCCCCAAAAUUUUUAUUCAUUUUUUUUUAAGAAAAUUAUUUACAGAUUUACUUUUACAUUCCUGAAAAAUUCAUAGAAAUUUUCAAAUGAUCCAGAAGCCUAAUUGUUAGAGUGAAAAUUUCAGAGACACCCAUUUCUGGAAGGUCAGGAAUUUAUGCAGACCAUUUUUCUUUGCUAAAGAUCUUAUCAGUUUGAGGCUUUUUUGUACUUCCUCGAGAAACAAGUCGAAGAAACACACAACACAAAUUGAUUGUGUUCUCCUCACCCUGGAGUUCCAUCAGCAAAAACUUGUGCACUUAGAAACCCUCUGAUAAGAUUUUUUUUUCUUCUCUCGGAUUGAGCAAAAAAAAAUCUGCGCUCGAUUGAGUAAGAAAGAAAAUUGGAAAAUUUUCUUUUGAAUUGGAUUGUGUCAUUGCCUAAAGAGUUGUUAUCUAAUCACAGGGGGAAUUUUUCUUUCACCUCAUCUCACCCUGAGACUACGCCCCAUGCCAAUUCAUGUUCUACGUCUAUCAAAUCAUUCCACGAUCCCACUAAUCAGAUAACAACGAUUUAUUCUUAUCACCUUCGGGCUGUCUUCUUACUCACUUUUUUUCGAGAGCUCUUUGGGCUCAGUUCUUGCUGGAAAUCAGUUCAUUUCUAUUGAUCGUACUUUGAGGAUCUCAAGAAAAAAAAGUCAUUUAGGAAUUAUAUCUUCAGAAUGGGAUGCUGCUGUAGCACUUCUGAUGGCGCUGAAAUAACGCCAACGCCGCCAAUUCAUCACGAUGAUCAUGCACCACCCACUCAUGACUACCCUCAAAUCACACCAGCAGCCGCAAAUGAAGAUGAACAUCAGAGAUACUGACAUUUUUUUAUUAUUGUAAAAGUUAAGACGUCAAAUAUAAAAAUAAUUGAAUAA